rnacentral:rRNA from 1 species
AGUGAACGCUGGCGGUAGGCCUAACACAUGCAAGUCGAACGGCAGCACAGUAAGAGCUUGCUCUUACGGGUGGCGAGUGGCGGACGGGUGAGGAAUACAUCGGAAUCUACUUUUUCGUGGGGGAUAAUGUAGGGAAACUUACGCUAAUACCGCAUACGACCUACGGGUGAAAGCAGGGGAUCUUCGGACCUUGCGCGAUUGAAUGAGCCGAUGUCGGAUUAGCUAGUUGGCGGGGUAAAGGCCCACCAAGGCGACGAUCCGUAGCUGGUCUGAGGGGAUGAUCAGCCACACUGGAACUGAGACACGGUCCAGACUCCUACGGGAGGCGGCAGUGGGGAAUAUUGGACAAUGGGCGCAAGCCUGAUCCAGCCAUACCGCGUGGGUGAAGAAGGCCUUCGGGUUGUAAAGCCCUUUUGUUGGGAAAGAAAAGCAGCAGGUUAAUACCCCGCUGUUCUGACGGUACCCAAAGAAUAAGCACCGGCUAACUUCGUG